GGACCAACACCACCGGCGAUGCCCAGCCAGAGUGUGAUGGUUCCACAAUUCCUGCUUUCACCAUUUCUUCAAGCUGCUCUUUUACAACAAACUGCUUGGCAGGUGACAUGCGGUAAGGACGCUGUUUGAUAGGGACCUGAUGGUUGGUAUAAAUACAGUGUUUGAGAACAUCAGUACGUCCAGGUUGUACAACACACACUUGGGUGUUGGUUUCUAAGAUGGUCUUUAACAUUUGUUUGUCAAGGGAAGAUAGAUGUGCUUCACUUACUGCUGUGUCGAUUAAUGUUUGUACAUUUUCCUCGACAGAUGCCGUUAUGAAUGCAGGUUGGGGUGGAGGAACAGAACUUAAUAGUGAGAGGGAUGGGUUGAGUGUCCUUGGACGCUGCUCUGGUUGUUGGCCUGAAGGGUUAGGUAUGCUGUGAGGAACAUCAGGUACACUGGCAUUACCAGGUUGAAAAGGAUACUCCUCUUGUGGAGUAGUCUUGAAGGAAUAUUUUCUAUCAAUGACAUUUAUUUGUAAGCCACUGAAGAAAAUGAAAUCCAACCCUAAAAUCACAGCGUAUGCAAGUGCUUGGGGGGACAGGAUAGCAACGGGUAGAGUAAAAGUUCGGUCAUGCAUAUUGAUUUGCAAUUGAACCCAUCCUAAUGGGACUUCUGCUUCACCAUUUGCUAGGUACAGUGGGCCAAGUGACCAAGGCUUGAGUUCUCCUGGCAAGAAGAGCUUUCUCCACAGGCUUUCGUGGAUCAUGGUAUAACUUGCACCUGUAUCCAGAAUGGCUUUUCCAUACCAUCUGCCAAUACCGACUGGAAUGAUAAGCUGUUGAGGAAUGAUAGCAGUAGGGACAGGGGCUGGUUUAGAGGGGGUUUUCUUUAUGUUCUUAAAAUUUGACGUUUUGUUUGUUGUGGCCGUGAUAAAAUUGUUUGUGGCUUGACCUCCAGGCUUAUGCGACUGAAACUGGCGUGGCUUGGGCUGGUGUUGUUUGGCAGAUUGGUUUGUGGUUAGGGAGGCAUAAUGUGGACAGUAACCAGGUGAGUGGUUUCCUUUACAUCUCCAACAUUGAAUUUGUGGUUUUUCAGGUUGCUUGUUACUGGUGGUUUUCUGUGACACUUCAGAUUGUAGUUUUUGGCCCAUGCACAUUUCAUAUUGCAACUGCAGCUCAUAGUCUUUCUCCAGUUGGUGUCCUAGCUUUACAAGCUCUUCCACUGUGCUUACCCGUCCGCGCAGCUGACUGGCUAGCUCGUCUUCAUAAUCUUCAGAAAGAAAAGCGGACAGAAAAGCAGUCUCAAACUCACUCCAUGUCAUUAUUGAAGAGCGAGCAACCUCCCACCAGUCACGUGCUGUGCCGUGAAGUACACUGCGGAAGGUUGCCAACAAGUCACUCUCUGCAAGAGGAUGCAAUGCUAAAAAGUCCUGACACCGGGUUAGAUACAGCAGAGGAUCGACGUCAUCAGACGGUCUUCCAAAAGUGGGAAAGGUCAACUUUAAAUGGUCACUUUUCCCAGCAGGAAUAGGGGGACACUCUGGGACAUUUUCUAGCGGUGAUGGUGUGGUAAGUGUGAAAUGGGAGGUUGGUUGUACCCCUUUACUUUGGUGAUCAGCCAUGUCUUCAACUUGCCGUUUACCUUUCUCCAUGUCUGUUUGAAGUUCUUUUAGUUGAGUGGUUAGCUUGUCAACCUGAGUGAUGCAAUGAUUACACUCAGUAGAGAGCUGCUCAUGAUCCUUUUGAAGGUUCUUUUGUGUAGCUCUGAUGUCUCUCUGAAGUUCAACCUGAAGUUGCUCCACCAUGAAACGGACUUCAGCAAUCAAGGUAGACUCUAUUUUUUGUAGCUCAUGUGACAUCAUCACUUUCAUGGCUUUGACUAAUUGAUCUGAAUCUGUGGAAUCCACCUUUGUUGCAGUUAACGUAGUGAGAAUUUGUUGUUUGUUGGCCUCUAUUUUGGAAGUCAGGUCUACAAGUUGCUUUUCAUGAUGGGAUGUAGCUGUUUUUUGCUCCUGGGUGAGUUCCUUCACAGCUUUUUCCUGAUGUUUCAUGAAGUCAAACAGAUUGUCCCAGUUACCUUGAACUUGCGCAGUCAAAUGGUGAAUUUCUUUUCCAGGAGUUGGGAGGUAACCAGGCAGGCGAUGCUGUGACACGGAGGAAGAGGGUGUAGUUUCAGUGGAUGUGGAUGUGCAAAGUUGCAUAGGUUCUGGCUGAAAUGAAACAGUUCCACCUGGAGGGGCGGAGGCAAAGUGCACCUGAGACCGGGGAUAGGGACUGCUGUACUGAGUUGGGGUGAAGUGAAAGGUGGGAAACUGAGGUGGAGGAACGGGGCUUGGUUGCACAGUCGGCCAAACUGGAGUUGCUAUGUCUGGGGGUGGUUCAAUUUCCACAGAGGUCGACGGUGAAGGAGGAAUAGUGGCCAUGGUUUUAUGGUGUUGUUUGUCCAUGUUGUGUGAAUAAUCAUUAAAUGAGAUCAGUAACGUGGAAUGACUAUGUCUGUUUGACUAUGGGGGGGGGGGGUAUAAAAUAAAAAAAAUAAAAUAAUAAAGUACA
ensembl:lncRNA